rfam:Rattus norvegicus chromosome 5, whole genome shotgun sequence.
GGGGAUUUAGCUCAGUGGUAGAGCGCUUGCCUAGCAAGCGCAAGGCCCUGGGUUCGAUUCCCAGCUCCG